AGCGAACGCUGGCGGCAGGCCUAACACAUGCAAGUCGAACGGAUCCUUCGGGAUUAGUGGCGGACGGGUGAGUAACACGUGGGAACGUGCCCUUUGGUUCGGAACAACUCAGGGAAACUUGAGCUAAUACCGGAUGUGCCCUUCGGGGGAAAGAUUUAUCGCCAUUGGAGCGGCCCGCGUCUGAUUAGCUAGUUGGUGAGGUAACGGCCCACCAAGGCGACGAUCAGUAGCUGGUCUGAGAGGAUGAUCAGCCACACUGGGACUGAGACACGGCCCAGACUCCUACGGGAGGCAGCAGUGGGGAAUCUUGCGCAAUGGGCGAAAGCCUGACGCAGCCAUGCCGCGUGAAUGAUGAAGGUCUUAGGAUUGUAAAAUUCUUUCAGCGGGGACGAUAAUGACGGUACCCGCAGGAGAAGCUCCGGCUAACUUCGUG
rnacentral:rRNA from 1 species